UACGAAGGGGGCUAGCGUUGCUCGGAAUCACUGGGCGUAAAGCGCACGUAGGCGGCUUUUUAAGUCAGGGGUGAAAGCCUGGAGCUCAACUCCAGAACUGCCUUUAAAACUGCAUCGCUUGAAUCCAGGAGAGGUGAGUGGAAUUCCGAGUGUAGAGGUGAAAUUCGUAGAUAUUCGGAAGAACACCAGUGGCGAAGGCGGCUCACUGGACUGGUAUUGACGCUGAGGUGCGAAAGCGUGGGGAGCAAACAGG
rnacentral:rRNA from 1 species